AGCCUCGGUGUAGUAAGACGGAGCAGAAUAAUCGUGUGGAGCCUCAGUGUAGUAUGUGGGCUCACUGUAGUAAGACCGGGCAGCUUCAGGGUAGUAAGUCGGAGCUACGUAGUACUUGGCCGCUUCUGUUGUAGUGUAGUAGGCAGCGGUAGUGGUAGUGUAACUGGGGGCAGCAUAGUACUUGGUGGCUUCAGUGUAGUAGCUCGGUGCAGCGUAUGUCGUUGUGUAGUACUCCGGUGCCUUCGUUGUGUAGUAUUUGGGAGGCUCAGCGUAGUAGCUUGGAGUAGCGUACUAUUGGGAAGCCUCAGUGUAGUAGGCUGGAGCAGCAUACGUUGUGGUGUAGUAUUCCGCUUUCUUUGUGUAGUACUCCGGGGCUUUAGUUGCGUAAUAUUCAGCAGCCUUUGUGGUAUAGUAUUGAGGGGCUUCAGUGUAGUAAACUGGAGCAGCAUAAGUUGUCGUGUAGUAGGUAGGUUCCACGUAGUACGUAGGAGCAGCCGUUGUGUAGUGACUUGGGGCAGCGUAAGACUUCGGAGCUUCAGCGUAGUA